rnacentral:rRNA from 1 species
GGAAUUGUUCACAAUGGGCGCAAGCCUGAUGACGCAACGCCGCGUGGAGGAUGAAGGUCUUCGGAUUGUAAACUCCUGUUGCUCGGGAAGAACAGCUCCGACCUAAUACGUCGGAGUCUGACGGUACCGGGUGAGGAAGCCCCGGCUAACUCUGUGCCAGCAGCCGCGGUAAUACAGAGGGGGCAAACGUUGUUCGGAAUUACUGGGCGUAAAGGGCGCGUAGGCGGCCUGUUAAGUCGAACGUGAAAUCCCCAGGCUCAACCUGGGAACUGCGUCCGAUACUGGCAGGCUUGAAUCCGGGAGAGGGAUGUGGAAUUCCAGGUGUAGCGGUGAAAUGCGUAGAUAUCUGGAGGAACACCGGUGGCGAAGGCGGCAUCCUGGACCGGUAUUGACGCUGAGGCGCGAAAGCCAGGGGAGCAAAC